CAAAAAGAAGGUUAGAUGCUCUAGAUGCAAAGGCUAUGGACACUUUGCCAAGACUUGCAAACUUGCAGAACCAGCAGAAAAUGUUGCUCCAGAAACACCAACCAAGAGGAAAUGGCAGCCAGAUGAUGAAGGAACUUCUGGUCCACCAAAGAAGAAGAAGAAGACUCCCAACAAGAAGCCAGCUAAGAAGAAAACUCCUAAGAAGAAGAAGACUCCUAAGAAGAAGAAAACUCCAAAGAAGAAGAAGCAGACACAAGCAGCCGCAGCCCCACCUCGUACAACAGUUAGAAGCCUGAGAGAUUGGCUCAGCAUGUGAUGCAUCAUCCAGGCUAUUGAGAUCCAGAAUCUUUUGUGAACUUGUAAUGUGAACUUGUAAUGCAACAUCCAGCCUGAGAGAUAGACUCCUAAGAUUGGUGUGAACUUCUUAUGUUAAGUGUGAACUUCUUAUAUUAAGUGUGAACUUGCUGUGAUCUUUGUUCUGUUACCUGUGAACCUUGUUAUUGGAAUAAGUCUGAACCUGUUUGUUAUGACAAUCUAAACUUGUUAUU